CCCUAAAUCCCUGAGUCCCCUGCACAACUCGGGAGACUGAGGAGGACUGCCUCCAGUUCAAAGCCAGCCCAGCUACAUACUCAGCUCCACAUCAGCCAGGGCUACAGAGUGAAGACAGAAAAUACCCCGUUUAAAAAAAAAAUCACUGCAGUUCAGCAUCAUAGCUGCUGAUGAGAUUGGAUCUGCUUUCCUGGACGAGCCAACACUGCCCCCCAAAGGAAUGGGAAGGAACCGGACCAUACAGACAGCAAGUAGUGGAUCGUGGGGCAGCAGCCAGGAUCCAGUCCUCCCAAGUAGCCAGAGAUAGAGCCUUACUCUGGACUUCCCAGCCUACAACACUGUAAGAAACAAAUAUCUGUGUAUAAGCCAGCUUUCAAGAGCCUGGACAGACUAAGAUGGCCAUCCUCUGAAGAUGCCAUACAUUGCAUUCUGUGUUUAAAUCUUCAGUCUGUCCUGAGUUAAUGUGCAGUGGGCCAGGAUUAGGUCAGUUCUCACCAAAUGCUUCUCUACAUUUUAUUAAUAGGGUUGUAGUUUUUCUUCCCCCUGCUUUUCCAAUGAAUUAAACUGAAGUUUAUUGGUUUGGUUUA
rnacentral:lncRNA from 1 species